UACGGGGGGGGCAAGCGUUGUUCGGAAUUACUGGGCGUAAAGGGCUCGUAGGUGGCCAACUAAGUCAGACGUGAAAUCCCUCGGCUUAACCGGGGAACGUCGAUCGAUACUGCUGUUCUUGAGGAUUGCAGAGGAGACUGGAAUUCCCGGUGUAGCGGUGAAAUGCGUAGAGAUCGGGAGGAACACCAGAGGCGAAAGCGGCGACCUGGACAGGCACUGACACUCAACUACGAAAGCGUGGGGAGCAAACAGG
rnacentral:rRNA from 1 species